rnacentral:rRNA from 1 species
UACGUAGGGGGGCAAGCGUUGUCCGGAUUUAUUGGGCGUAAAGAGCGUGUAGGCGGCCUUACAGGUCAGCUGUGAAAACUCGAGGCUCAACCUCGAGACGUCGGUUGAAACCGUAAGGCUAGAGUCCGGAAGAGGAGAGUGGAAUUCCCGGUGUAGUGGUGAAAUGCGUAGAUAUCGGGAGGAACACCAGUGGCGAAGGCGACUACCUGGCCUGUUCUUGACGCUGAGGCGCGAAAGCUAGGGGAGCGAACGGG